rnacentral:misc_RNA from 1 species
UAACAAUUUGGAGGGGGGCAAACUUUGUGAAUUAAAAAAAUCUUUAAACAUAUAUAAUAUACGUAAAAAAACUAUGUCAUAAAAUAAAAAAAUUCGUAUAAAAAAUCUUUAAAUUUCAAUAAAAAAAGUAAUAAACGUGGUUAAUAAAUUGAUAACCCAAAAACCAAAUAGAGAUUUAAAAGCUUUAAAAGGAAGUUACUAAAUUAGCAAGUUGAGGAAACAUCUUGAAAAACAUUUAGCUGUAGUAAGAAGUCAGAACAUGUUCUGCCAUUAACUUGGUGUGUGGUCCCAUGA